rnacentral:tRNA from 1 species
GGCGAGGUGGCAGAGUCCGGUUUAUUGCAACGGUCUUGAAAACCGUCGGCGGUUAAUAGCCGUCCAAGGGUUCAAAUCCCUUCCUCGCCGCCA